GCUGGUUUAGCUCAGUGGUUAGAGCGUAGGUCUCGUAAGGGAAGGUCUCGGGAUCGAAUCCUGCUAGAGGCA
rnacentral:tRNA from 1 species